rnacentral:rRNA from 1 species
CCCUUAGAUGUUCUGGGCCGCACGCGCGCUACACUGAUGCAUUCAACGAGCCUAUCCUUGACCAACAGGUCCGGGUAAUCUUUGAAUCUGCAUCGUGACGGGGAUAGAUUAUUGCAAUUAUUAAUCUUCAACGAGGAAUGCCUAGUAGGCGCAAGUCAUCAGCUUGCGUCGAUUACGUCCCUGCCCUUUGUACACACCGCCCGUCGCACCUACCGAUUGAAUGUUUCGGUGAAGAUUCCGGAUAGGACUUUUUUGAUUUAUUUCAAUUUUGUCUUAAAAGCUAUCUAAACCUCAACAUUUAGAGGAAGGUGAAGUCGUAACA